CCCCCUUUCCCCCAUAGCCUCCCGUCGAAGGCUUUCUGUUCGUCCGCCUGUGGGAAUCGCGAGGUCCCUCCUAUCUUCUUUCUGUUAAUUUCGAUUUCAAUUUAGGAUCCAAGGUUGUUGUUCUUUCUAUUCUGAAUUUCGAUCUGGAGAAUUCAAUGUUGUUUUAUCGUGUUUGUUAGGUUGGUGGUGAUUGUGUAGGUCGAACUUUGGAAUUUGUAUGUCGUUUAUGCUAGAUCCAGAUCCAUCUGUGUGACAGGAAUUGUUUGUUUCAUAAGCUAGGUCCAGAUCCGUACGUGUUACGGUUUUUUUUUAAGGUUGCAUAAGCUAGAUCCCGAUCCAGAUAUGUUGAUUUGUAGUGAGUUGUUAGAUAUAUCUUAUUUAGAGAACGAACUGAUUUAUUUUAUGUCGAAUCAUGUUGCUGUGGGGAGGGAUCUCAUGGUCUGAAACUAAUAUUUUUGAUAGAUGAUACACAUGUUUCAGUAGUCAUGAGCACCACUCCUCCUUUUGUUAGAUCUAAUCGGAUAUCUCCUGAGUUUGUAGUUCUAGAUCUAACUUAAUUAUAUUUGGCUACAACUUCCUCCGUUAUGUUCGAGGUGUAUACAACCUGAUGGAGCCUGUACGAGGUGUUUGAAGAUCCUAAUUGAUUGCUUCGUCUGAUACGACCUCGAUGCUAGAGGUGCUUGAAGAUGCUUACCGAUUGCUUCGUCAGAUAACGCCCUUCAUGUUGUACUAUGUUCACCGGUUAGUCGGCAGCUGGCCAGCGGUUGAAGAACGGCGAAUUUGCUAUUCUGGAGACCCAAGUUGUCCACAGGGAGCAGAGGGGAAACUGGUCGACAGUUGAUAAUUUUUGUUAGCUGAUCACGGGAUGUUCCUUGUUCUCGUUUGCUGUCGAAGACGGUGGUCUAUCUCCAAUACGGCGUAAAGCUGCAUGUUUGACUAUUUAAGGAGGUGUUGCGUUGUUUAUCGGAGGUUGUUAUAUCAGUUCUUUCUUCCAUUAAGGAAGGUUCGAUGGUUCGCCUCCUUUCUAUGCCCUGAUGGAGCCUCGACGAGGUGUUUGAAGAUCCUAAUUGAUUGCUUCGUCCGAGACCUCGUCUAUGCUAGAGGCGCUUGAAGAUGCUUACAGAUUGCUUUGUCAGACAACGCCCUUCAUGCUGUAGUUUGUUCACCGGUUCGGCCAUCUUCAUCGGCAGCUGGACAGUGGUUGAAGAACAGCAAAUUUCCUAUUCUGGAGACCCAAGUUGUACGCAGGGAGCAGAGGGGAAACUGGUCAACAGUUGAUACUUUUUGUUAGCUGAUCACGGGAUGUUCCUUCUUCCCGUUUGUUGUCUGAGACGAUGCUUCCUUAUCUCCAAAUAUGGCGUAAAGGUAAUUGUUUUGGUAAGCUGAUGAUGCGCAUGUAUGUGUACACAUGCGUGUUGUGUAAUUUCCUGUACCUAUACCUGGACCAGUAGGGUGGGACGGGACGGCCUUUGCCAUGUCGGGUGCGCUCGCUUGGCAGGCCACAAGGCAAUAAAAGUCUAUUUUAUUGUGUUCGCGGGGUGGAGAUCGCACGGGGAACUAUAUAUUUGUUCUAUUUGCCCCGGGUUCUCCACCCUGCCUUGGUGCUGUCUCCUCGUUCUGCUUGUUGUUUGAUCUGUUUGGUUGGUUCCACUACACGCCUUCCAUGAUUUCUAACGUCCAAAGCACACUAAACUAUGAAGAUCUCUGUUGAGGCAUAUUGAUAACGACAAAAGCGAAGGUACAUCUAAUUACUCAUGUUUAUGUACUUAAACUUUCUCAUCACUCAAGGAUCGAACCUGUUGUAGCUGAAUGCAUUAUACUGAAUAUCCCGCUCAUCCCAACUACAAUCCAAUAUGAGAAGUUGUUACACAUCAGACAGUUAUGUUUUUGCACAGCUUCCUUAAAUAACCAAAGUUCUUUUAUUUGUGUUUUCUUCAAGAUAAGAAGUUGUAACCUCUUGCACAAGUAUGCCAAACUGCCCAAUUUUAAGUUCAACAUCCAGUAUCAUUUGGUUCUCCAUAGCUAACUUUACAUAUGUACUCCAACUUUGUUAAACAUUCUGCCAACACAUGAACUACUGCCAACAUAUGAACUGCAGUUUAAGUGUUUUUUCGGGUUCUAUGCAUAUUUUGGAGGAUUUGUCCUUCCAAAAGUAUAUAUCCUGUGUGCUUUAUUAUUAUGAUUUGUUCUUCAGCUGUAUGUAUUUAGGGAGGUGCUGCAUUGUUUAUCGGUGGUUGUAUAUCAGUUCUCUAUUCGAGAAACCAUGUUACUACCUUUGUGUACUUGUUCUCCUUUCAAGUUUGUGGAUGUGCGAGUCUUGGCAGCUAUGGCUACAUAUGUCAGUUCUCUAUUUGAGAACUGUGUUAUUACCUCUGUAUACUUGUUCUCUUUUCAAGUUUGUGGGUGUCCGGUUCUUCUUGAUGGCGAUGGUUAACUCGACGGACUUCUUCCUGUGCUGGUCUUCAUGCUGAUGUUGUAUCAUGUCUCCUGCUGACAAGUAUAUGUGCUACAGAACAACAUGCUACUUGGUGGUGAUCAUUUGCGUUUAGGGUCCAAAAUCUUAUUUCUGCUUCCACGCCUGGGAUUGUCCUGAAGAACUCAAUUAAGGUUCUUUGGUCAUGCACAACUGGUGGCAUCCACGUCUGGUGAUGUAUAAUUUUUGCAAGUAAAUUCAUAGAUAUCCAUGAUGCAUUCUGGGAGCAAUCUAAUGUUUUUCGUCGAACUGUGUUGCAAUAGUAUUUUGCCUUUGUUCCGUUAUAUAAGUGGAUGGAAGGGCCUUAAUGAUUAUUAUUAUCCCUUCUAUUUCCUUGGUUACCUGUUAUGAUUUUACAUCUUUGCUUGUACGAGUAUUUUUUGUAGGCAUCCUCAUGUUUUUUGUUGUUGUUGAGGGAAUACUCGUGUUGUUUAUGUAAACAGUGUAGCCACAUUUUAGUGUUCCCUUUGUUCUUUUCAUUGGAAGGGCCUUAUUGGUUAUUAUUAUCCAUUCUAUUUCCUUGGUUGCCUGUGUAAGUCUGGGCUAUGAUCUUUUUCCUGAUUCGUUUGUAGGAGUCUAUACUAUGCAUUUUGCUGAUAGUUUUGGCGACCUGAAGAGGCAUUUUCAUGUUGUUCGUCAGUCAGUGUUGUGAUUUCUUUCCAUCUUCGUCUAUGCAUUUUGCUGAUAUUUUUGGCGACCUGAAGAGGCAUUGUCGUGUUGUUUGGCAGAAAGUGUUGUGAUUUCUAGUAAAUCUGUUUUGUUUUUCUUCCUUAAAAAAAUUUCCUUUAAGCAAAAAAGCCUUGGGAGUAUAUUGGUUAAUUAUUAUCUCUUUUAUUUCCUGGAGCUCUUAAUUUUUCUGUCUCGUUGGUAUGUACUAUGCAUUUGUACUGAAUUUUUUCUGACAAAUGUGAUAACGAGAUGCAUAGUUUUGUUAAGGUUGAUACACCACCCCCUGUCCGAGGGACUAUUCUUUUAGCUGUUCUUUUUCUGGCUCUUGUUUUUUGGUUCCCUGUUUAAUUAUUUUUGUGUUUUUCUGUCAUGGUAAAUAUAGAGCAUACUAAUCUAAUACUGCAGAGUUACACCCAUGUGACAUGAAAAUCUUGAAUCUUUGCAGGGGCUGGGCGGCAGACGGUUGGAUUCACAGAAACCAUCUGGCUAACUUGUCACCUCACCAUAAAAUACAUCAAUCGUGGAUCUUUAGCUCUGAACUGGAAAGAGCGUCACAGCAAAUAACAGCUGCGACUGAUGGUUCGACUCCAUCAAGAUUCAUUUUCAUUUGAAUAGUAUGAAUUGGAGUUUUGAGACAUUUGAAUUUUGAAUUGGUUCUCUUGUUGAUGGCCAAAAGACGGAAUUCUCCAUCUACAAACUCUAGAGUAGUUAGCUUGAUUCCAGUUUUAUGGAGGAUUUGGUAUGUAUUUAUUAUUCAAAACAUUAGGUUGGAAGGUAAAUUGUCCGUAUGGAGUAUUGUUCA